rnacentral:rRNA from 1 species
UGGGGAGUAUUGGACAAUGGGGGCAACCCUGAUCCAGCAAUGCCGCGUGAGUGAUGAAGGCCUUAGGGUUGUAAAGCUCUUUCGGCGGGGACGAUGAUGACGGUACCCGCAGAAGAAGCCCCGGCUAACUUCGUGCCAGCAGCCGCGGUAAUACGAAGGGGGCGAGCGUUGUUCGGAUUUACUGGGCGUAAAGGGCGCGCAGGCGGUCUUUCAAGUCGGGUGUGAAAGCCCCGGGCUCAACCCGGGAACUGCACUCGAGACUGGGAGACUAGAGUUCGGGAGAGGAUGGUGGAAUUCCCAGUGUAGAGGUGAAAUUCGUAGAUAUUGGGAAGAACACCGGUGGCGAAGGCGGCCAUCUGGACCGAGACUGACGCUGAGGCGCGAAAGCGUGGGGAGCAAACAGG